UUAUGAAAUACUCAAUUUCUCAUUUUAUUUAAACUUAUUUAUAAUUAUGUUUCUUUAAUAUAAAGUUAACAAAAUGUUGAAGUGUACACAUUUUUACCUCACUUAUUUUUAACGGCAUGAAUUGGACAAACAAAUUGUUGAGGUGGAAAGCAAUUAUUUUUCUGUAAAUAUUGACCUUUAAGUCUUUCCUCCUAAACAAAAUCAGAAUAAUUAAAUGUAAUGGACUCACUGAUGUGCACACAAUCAUUUUGAAACAUAAUUUAAAGUACAAACAUCCUUGUUUAUUUUUUUUGCUAUUGUAACAUUGUACCAGUGUAGAUGGUCUCCAACAGACUCAGAAAGUAUGUUUUAGCCAGAGCCACUCCGCCACCAGUAGUGUUUCUGCAUACCGUAAUUUGCAUAAACAUGAGUAAUUUAUGAAUAAUAAAUGCCCUAGCAUUCAGCUGGAGCUGAUAAUUUGCAUAUCAGUGCCGCCUUAGUGCCGUGUUAUCAUGAAGCCCUUCAAGCCUGCAUAAACCAAAAUCAAAGAAAUAGUGCUUUAACAGGCCAACCCCACCGCCCUGCCCAUCCCCGAGCUCACGCUCACCAGCAGAACUGGCUGAAUGUUGUUGAUUUCCUGACCCAAGUGGAUGCGGAUCAGCGGAAAGGCCCCGACAACUCCUUCUCUGCCAGACCAAGGAGCUCGUCUCAGAAUCUUCGUCCAAAACUUUGACCACACAGACACCAGGAUGAGACUCUGAUGGAAGGGGCCAGAGAGAGAGCAAAGUCCCUUGAUGUUCAAAAUAAAUCUGACAGGCCCUACUGGAGUCGAGCAAAAGAGGCUUCAACUUGUUGAGAGUCAUUGGGGGAAGCAGUGUCCGGGGGCGGGGGGGUCAGUUUCCCCCGGGACCGCUGUAAAGGACUCCGGCGGCCCUCCAACCGCGCCCUCUGAUGGGCUGCAGUCAGAGGUCAAAGGUCAUAUGAAGCAACAUGGUAUGAAUAUGUAACCUUGUGACACACAAACUGGAUCAAAAGACAAAUGGACUCUCUGAAGGAGAUCAUGAUUGGAUCCUAAAUACGGGCAAAGUGACCUAAUUCUCAGAAACGUCGGACAAAUCGGUUUCUCUAAUGUGAUGGCUUGUUUAUUUCAAUUUAUUGCCUUGAACACGUUCCAAUAUUUUUUUCCUUUCUCCUUAUGCAUUCAAAACAACCCAAAAAAAAAAAAACUGCAAAAAACAAAUAAAUAAACACAACCCAAAAGCCGUUCAUUGUUCUCAGGCUAACUAACUAAUUUUCUCCUUUAACCAGAGCAAUGCUCAGCAUUCACACCUCACAUUCCACUCGCCCUCACAGUUCCUAAAAAACAAUGCCUUUAAAUUGUCUUAAUUUGAGCAUAGACUGGUUUUACAGCUGUGCGUGGGAGGAGCUGGAGGUUGAAGUGCUCCAUGAAUGUGAUGUGAAUUAUCUUCCUAAUGAAAUAUAAUACUGAAAAUGAACUCUGCUGGACCUAAGGCACGCAGAACAAUAAGGGGAGAUGAAGAAAAAGAAGCAGUUGUGUUUGCGCAUGUGCCUCUGUGUGUACGCUCUCAAAUUUGUGCACGUUUUAAAAGUGCAUGCAAUUGCUAAAAUGCAUAAAAGUUAUGUUUAAAAAAAAUAAAACUGCGUUCAUUCUUUUAUUGAAGUGGAAAUCCCCAAGAAUACAAAAUGAUGCACACUGCACUUCCUUUGUCCUACUUUAAGCCCCACUUUUGCUGGAGUGCAUCAAAGUUCCUGCAACGAAGAAGAAUGGAUGAAGACGGCAUUGACUUUCCCCCAAUUUUUUUUAAUAAACUGUCAGUCACCUGCAGCAGUGACUGACACUGAUAUCAUAUGAUGCAGCAUUCCAUAUAAAAGAUCUCUUAUUCUUCUUCCGGCUCAAUCUGAGGCCUGUCCUCCCUUCGUAUUAUCACCAUCAUCGCUCCAACAUGAAAGGGGAGAAACAAGUGCUGCACCGCUGCCAAAGAGAGACCUUGAUCUCCGAGCAUUUGCAUUCGCCACCUUCGCUCUGCUGGAUGUAUGAACAAGUUACCAAGGGGCCCUCUGAUUGGACGGUACUGAAAAGCAAGAAUUCUGCUAAUGCACAAAACAAGCAGGCUGACGCCCUACCCCUCCUCCACGCACUGUCACACACGGUCGGUGGCACUAGAGGGCAGUCCACUCUGUUGGUUUUAUGUUGUGAAGGAACGGUGAAAUAAAGUCACAUGGAGGGGCGUGGGACACAGCGGGAGUUUUUUUUUUUUUUUAUUAUUCCUUAAACGUUGUGGGGAAAUGUGCAAAGAUCAUUUCAAAUCACUUCUCUUUAAGACUCAAAAUUCUACUCAUCCAUCUGGAUUUCCCAUUUAUCUUGAUUUUAGUUGACAUUUUUUUAACCAACCACAAAGUACACUAAAAACUAUUUGGUUUUUGGGGUAUGGUCCUCUCUGAAAUUGAAGCAGAGCUGCUCCUUAAUACAGAAAAAAUGCCAACUUUAACCCUAACUCUAAUUUCCCUCAUAAUACCAGGAUAAAAUUAGAAACAGGGCCUUUUAUCUAUGUCACAGAACUCUUUUCACAUUAAAAGUGUGAGCGUGUGAGCACACAUUUCAAUAGAAGUCCUAUUAUUGCAAUAUUUUUGUGAUGGUAUCCAGAAAGCUGCAGAGUUAAGAUCUAAAAAAAAAUAAAAAAAGGAAAGUGUUGAUCAGAGACGAUGAAAAAAACGUGUGAUUAUCACAGGAGCACACUCACCUUUUCAUUUUUACUACACACCUUUUGUGGAUUCACACUUUGACAAUGAUCGAGAAUACCAUUUAAACAUUUUUGGCAAGUGGUGGAAAUAAAACUUAUUGGUUUGUUUCAUGGUGGAAAAUAUUGUUUUAUACAUAUUUUUUUAUACAUUACAUACUAUGUUUUAAAUUUUCACAUUAUAUUCAUUACAAAAAGACUAAAAAGUAAUUGGCUGGGCAAUGUAGGUCACCACUAAUCCCCUCCCUUUGUUUCACUUUGCAUAACUAAAAAUUUCAGUGUAUUCGUUUGUUUAAAUGUGGAUUUUUUUGGCCAAAUAGAAAUUAAUAAACCUUUUUGCUAUCAUCA